GCUGGAUGAAAACCUUCACAGCCUGGAGCCGAGACAUUUCCACGCAGAAAGCAACAACAGCCUGCUGUUUCUUCUUCUUUGGAUUUGAACGGUAGUUGCAUGUCGUUGCAGUGGGUCAAGUGUACUUACUUGACAGGACGAGGGGUGGAAGCGAGGAUUGCGAUCAGCAGCUACACUGCUAGAUCACUAAAUCCUACACACUGCUCCUUCAAGAGUCAGGAUGUGACACAAGUUAACAGCAGCGAACUUGUGGAUCCUCCAUCAACAUCAGUUCAGUCAGGAUGGACUUCAUUCUGAGCAAACAUAUAUUUAGGGACAACGUUUAUGUCUGAGAUAUGGUUGAAGAUGAUAGGUUAAUGUGUGAUGGCUGCUUCUGUGUGUUUCUUUUGCUGGUAGCAGGUCUAUAGACUCAAAGACAGACAGAAGUACUGUAUGUGUGUGGAAACAGAUGAUUAUGAUAAACUGUAAUUUUAUAUCUUCUUGGGGUGUAGAGGCCUUUUCAUAAUGGUAUUUAAAUGACUCAUAUUAGUCGUUGGUUUGAAAUUAUUUUAAUACUACACCUUCUUAAUCUUAAUCUUAAAAUCUAAAAAAGUCUCAGUCUUGUUUCUUGUUAGCACAAGGUUGUAAGUGUGAUAUAAAUACAUGUUAUGCUGCACAGUUACGCUUUAAGACUGGAUCUGCCAAAUAAGGACCACCCAGAGGAAAAAAACAAAACAUAAACACACGCACACAUUCUACCAGAGUCUGACGACAGUUUGAAUGCUUGAUGACAGGACGAACGGGCGAAGAAAAGGAUUUAUAAGAAAGAUAAAAAUAUUCUAGGUGUCUGGUUGUUUGUAUCUAUUUUUGCAGACUGCUUUGAAAAGUGCUUUAUAAAUAAAGUUAAUACAAGGCGACAGAGGUACAUAAUCAGCUGCUCACUGCUGUCAUUCAUGAAGAGCCUUCUGAGGGACAGAUACGAUUACUGCCCUUCUCAGGAUCAACAAGAUGGGAAGGACAAACGGACCAGCAAAGGGGAAGGGGAGCUCAGACUAGAAGGUUUAACUUUGAACGAUGAAUGAAUGUCUGGGCCGUCUCUCAACUGUCCCGGCUCCAUUGUACCAAGCAGAUGGAUCGUUUGUUUUCAGCAGGUCUGGCAAAGGACAUUUAAGCUCAACCUGACUGUGGACCGUGUACACAACAACAUUGUCGGAGUGCAUGGGAUUAUAUUUAUGACUCAACUCUCAGCAUUAAAAUUUGGAAGAGUUUGUGCACAGCCUGUCUCUUUGUUAUUAUUAAUACUCAAAAAUCAACUGACAACUCUUUUGAUUGACAGACAGGGCUUUCAAUGAUUGUCUGCUUCACUUUGUCAUAUCUGAUGUAAUGUGAAUAUGUCUGAGCAGAUUUUAUAUCACAAAUUAACAAAAAACACAAUUGUAUGUACUAACUGUAAGCAAAUAUAUAUUCUAUAAGAAUAGAAAGCAAAAGCAGUACAUGGACUUCAAGAUGGCAGAGGAGCUGUCACUGCAACCCUGCAUGAACAGAAGAUGUCGGGCUGAUAUCGCCUAACAUUUACAGUAAUGCAGUUACUUCUUUUAGUAAUUCAGCACAUUAACAUGAAUCCAAGAUAUUAUGACAUUUUUAAUAGGCUACCCAUGAAUCCUUGUGCAAUCAUAUGAAUUGGCACUAUGGAAAACGUUGUUUUAAAAUAAAAUCAUGUGCUCAUCUUCUGUAAAACUUGUUUACUUUGCUUUGAUCUUUUGAAAUUCAGAACCAGAAUCUGAUGUUAUAUGUUAUCUGAUAUUUUGGAAUUUAGAAGCAGAAUCCAAUGUGUUCAUGGUUCUUUGGCUUUGAUCUUGGUUGUCGCCCUGCCUGCCUGUGAGUGAGUGAGUGAGUGAGUGAGUGUGCGAGUGACUGAUUGAUUGAUUUCAAGAAGUUAACUUAGUUGACAUCCAGACAGACAGGCCGAGACGUGCAGGCAUGCCUCCAUACACCCAGACAGGCAGAGGGGGAGAAAAAAAACAGACCCAGGGACACAUACAGCUUCUGGUUCCCUACCCCGGCUCCUCACCUGCUCGAGAGUUACAAUGUCUGGGAGACUACAGGAGCGAGAAGAAAAAGACGAUCGGAGGGCCCCUGCCGGCCGUCCCAGCGCCGGUGUUCGGGCAGGAUGAUCCUCCCUCCCCGCGGGUCCCAACACAUCCAGGGCUGGGACGUGCCCACAGCUCACGACGGAGCCCGUCGCCGGGUAACGCGUCCUCCCCACUCCCUCCACCCCCCUCCAGGGGUGUUGGAGUGACGGUUGUCGGGGACCCACCCGGCUCGUGCGGCGGGCCUUCGGAGAGCACACGAUGUUUCUCAAAGUCCCUUUCCCAUGAAACAUGCAACAUGGAAGAUCACCUGUGGUGUGUGCAUAUAUAAAAGAAUCCAAGUCUCCAGGCAGACCAGCAGCUGUCAGCCAUCAGGACUAUUUUGGUCAUAGAAGAG